rnacentral:misc_RNA from 1 species
GAGGUGUAAUGCUAGCUGGUAACAAUUGACAAGGCCCUUCCUUAGACUAUGGGUCCUGAUAGUUCUAUCAUGAAUCAGGCUGAUGGUUGGUUGGUGUAGAUGGAACUCAGCGUUGACACUAUCACAUAUUCAAUGUCUGUGUAGGGUGCCAGUCAGUUUUGAUGCCUUCGACAUGUAGACGAACUAGCUUUUGAUGAUUCAGGUAUCAACAAUUGUAAAUUGCCUCAUGGUUUGUUAUGCACCAGGUCAAACUUUGUCUUAAGUUACUGUUUUAUCUAGUUGAAGAGGUGUAAUUGAUGAGAGGCCAG